AAUCAACGCUGGCGGCGUGCCUAACACAUGCAAGUCGAACGAGAAAGCCGUAGCAAUACGGUGAGUAGAGUGGCGACCGGGUGAGUAACACGUGGAUAACCUACCGCCGAGUGGGGAAUAACCCUGGGAAACCGGGGCUAAUACCGCAUAACACCUCUGGAGUUCGCUCCGGGGGUUGAAACCCGCAAGGGGCUUGGUGAGGGGUCCGCGGCCGAUUAGCUAGUUGGUGAGGUAACGGCCCACCAAGGCUAUGAUCGGUAGCCGGCCUGAGAGGGCGGACGGCCACACUGGAACUGAAACACGGUCCAGACUCCUACGGGAGGCAGCAGUGGGGAAUAUUGGACAAUGGGGGAAACCCUGAUCCAGCAAUGCCGCGUGGGUGAUGAAGGUCUUCGGAUUGUAAAGCCCUUUUGGCAGGGACGAUGAUGACGGUACCUGCAGAAUAAGCUCCGGCUAACUUCGUGCCAGCCGCCGCGGUAA
rnacentral:rRNA from 1 species